CACUCCUGCGGGAGGCAGCAGUGGGGAAUUUUGGACAAUGGGCGAAAGCCUGAUCCAGCAAUGCCGCGUGAGUGAAGAAGGCCUUCGGGUUGUAAAGCUCUUUUGUCAGGGAAGAAACGGUGAAAGCUAAUAUCUUUUGCUAAUGACGGUACCUGAAGAAUAAGCACCGGCUAACUACGUGCCAGCAGCCGCGGUAAUACGUAGGGUGCAAGCGUUAAUCGGAAUUACUGGGCGUAAAGCGUGCGCAGGCGGUUUUGUAAGUCUGAUGUGAAAUCCCCGGGCUCAACCUGGGAAUUGCAUUGGAGACUGCAAGGCUAGAAUCUGGCAGAGGGGGGUAGAAUUCCACGUGUAGCAGUGAAAUGCGUAGAUAUGUGGAGGAACACCGAUGGCGAAGGCAGCCCCCUGGGUCAAGAUUGACGCUCAUGCACGAAAGCGUGGGGAGCAAACAGGAUUAGAUACCCGAGUAGUCUCAUGAU
rnacentral:rRNA from 1 species